UUUAAGCCAAAACUAAUUAUAUAUUAAACCCUAAAUAAACCCUAAUAAAAUCCUAAAUCUUAAAUCAAAUCCUAAAUCUUAAUCAAAUCCUAAACCCUAAAUCAAACCCUAAACAAACCUUAAACCAAAUCCCAACCAAAUCCUAAACCAAAUCCUAAAUAAACCUUAAACCAAAUCCCAACCAAACUCUAAAUCAAACCCUAAAUCCUAAAUCAAAUCCUAAUCAAACUCUAAACAUAAACCAAACCUAACCAAAUCUUGAAUCUUAAACCAAAUCCCAACCAAAUCCUAAAUCAAAUCCUAAACCCUAAACAAAUCCUAACUCUAAAUUAAAUCCUAAUCAAAAUCUAAAUAAAUCCUAAUCCUAAAUCAAAUCCUAACCAAACUCUAAACAAAUCUUAAACCAAACCCCAACCAAAUCCUAAAUCAAAUCCUAAACCCUAAACCAAAUCCUAACCAAACUCUAAAACCUAAAUGAAAUCCUAAUCAAAUCCUAAAUCCUAAAUCAAAUCUUAAACCAACCCCAAA
rnacentral:lncRNA from 1 species